rnacentral:tRNA from 1 species
GGGGGCUUAGCUCAGCCUGGUUAGAGCGGCGGUCUUACAUGCCGCAGGUCCUUGGUUCAAAUCCAAGAGUCCCUACCA